GAAUUGAAUAAAGGUUUGAGCAUGUGCUCGCCACUCAAAACAAGCAACUAGUACACUCACAAUACGUAGAUGACAAUCACGUCACAUUGUAAUUCAACAGAUAUAAACAUCGCUAGCUUAAUACAUUUCAACAAGUGUUGCAACCAUCACUCCUUUCGUAUACAAUUAGCAAUUACUUGUAAAUUUGUGCAAGUGAACAUUAUAAUGAUAAAGUAUAGCACAUGUAUACACAUUUUUAUUCUUAGCAAACAGUCUUUCUCUCAAAUGAUUUGCUAUUACAUAACUUACUGCUUAACUAUUACGUAAAUUUAAACAAACCUCAAACACCUAAGGCAGAAUGCAAAACAUUAAGUAUAAGUCUGCAUUUGAUAAAGCAUUUUCAUAGAAUCGGCCAGCAUUUGGGUCGUGGGGUUGCAAAAUAGGCCCGUUUGGGUCCUGGUUUGCCAAUACUGGCUAUAUAAGUAUACAUUAAACAAAAGCGGCAAAUGAUGAUAGAUAUGCGUGUUCUACUUCAAGAAGAGGUAUAAUUGUGUUGCUUUGCAUUGACUGGAAUACGCCAGAGGACUUUGUUACAUUGUAUCUUUAUAAUUUCAAUGAAAAUUGAAAUUAUAAAUGGAACAUUGAUGGGUUUAAACUCGUAUUUGUAAAAAUGCAUGAAAUCCCCCAUUUUUAUGGUGUUGUGAAUAUGAAGCAAUAUUUUCUUUGCUAAUUUAAUAAUAAUUAUUAUUUUUAUACAGGACGCCGUCAAUAUAAGUCUCAUAUAUUCAACCUACAUAUAUGAUCAAAGUACAAAUCGCAGGUUUAAUGUUCUCUUGAAAAUCAAUGACCACUGAAAAAGCAGAAGAACGUCGAGUCCCAAAUUCCGUUGCUUGUACUCCGCACUCUGUACUGGAAGCUUGCAUUGUGCAAUACAGCACAUUUCUGAACCGAUACACGACUGGAAUUAACCUCUCUAGCAGAAGACGACUCCACGGUAUACUCGGGUCCUCCAGUUUUAGGCGGCUCUCCGAGAUGUCCAAGCAGCGGCUCUAGCUUCACCUGCCCCUGUCCAGUUAUGGAUUCCGGUCUCGAGGCAGGAUCCAGCCAAGUGCUAAGCUCUUCCAGGUUCAGCGCUAUCUCAGCAAUGACAUCAUCGACCCAAGCACUGUUAGAGAAUUCAUUGCCAAGAAACACCAACGCCGGAAAUGAGCACGACCAGCAACAUCUACAAGACGAUCUCUAGGGUCGCAGGGGGUCCAGAGUCUUUACCGGAAACUACAGGCACAAGGUGGGGAAUAACG